UGUAAAAUGGAUUUGAGUUGCUGACUGCAUGCACUGAUACGUAUGUGUAUUCAUGGUCUGAUGACUAGCUAUUGCAGCAAUGAUGCGAUGGUGCUUUAAUUGUUAGCAAAUCAUCUAAAUAUAAUUAAAGACUUUCAGGUUCCUUCGGAUUCCUGUCUUGCUCAAAGAUAUUUAAGAAGCAGAUGUGAGCUCUUUGCUAACCCGCUGGUUCAUUCACUACAUUAUCCAGUCUCCUCAUCUGUGUUAAAAGGCGGAGCACAAGUGGAAUUGAGGAUUUAUGACAGUGCGGCCAGUCCCUCAGAGUGACUUCUGAACCCAGAUCGUUCCAUCAGAGCCCCAAAAGCUUCGGAGCCCCAUCCUGGUAUGAGGUGGCAGAAGAGCGGGGAGAACCCUGGGGAGAACUGUGAAGAGGAACAUCUCAAUGUUCUUCUGACUCUUCUUCUCAGUGGAAAGCACCUCGGAGGCGGAUCGAAACCAACCCCCACUAAAAAAUUAGUAUACACAGCGUUGUGUAGGGGUGAAGACUGACAUUCACAUUGUUUAAUUGUGAUAUGUCCCCCCUUUUAUGGGCCACUACUCCUAAGAAAGUAGUAAAGUUGAUGCUGACUGGUUCAGAGAAAGCAGCUGUGGAUUGAACAGCUGGAUGAUGACGCAGCCACGGAAGCUCUUCUGCUGAUCAAGCCUGACCUCCAGUGGCAGUUGUGUGGAAACACAAACUAAAUGAAACCAGUGAGCUACUAAAGCUGUGCUGGCAACCUGUGGCAAAGAGUAAUUGAGCAUAUUGGUUCAAGAAUUGUACCACAGUAAAUUUUUGAGGUACUAAUCGUUUUCUUUCUUUAACUUCUGCUUUUGCUCCACUACAAUACAGAGGGAAAUACAACACUUUUCACACCACAAUUACUUAACGUCAGUGACAUUCCAGAUUCGUUGUAGAACAUAAAAUUAAUAUAAAAACAUGGACUUACAUUAUAA